CGUAGCUCAUUAUUCAUUUUAAUGAAUGAGUUCAACGAAGCUUUUAUUGAGUCGAUAUUCUAAGUAGCUUACAUGCAACUUUGCUCAUUCACAAUGCUAUUGGUUACAUCUCAAGAUAUAAACUAAGCAAGUGUACUAUGCCAUAUUUUUAAGGUUCUUUAAAGCCAUUAGUGUGGAGAGAUAUAGCUCAUUUUUAAGAGAAUGGGACGUGAAUUAAUAAUGGAAGUGUUGGUAAUUGUUUGUACAUAAGAUAUUGUAAAUGACACUGUUGACUGUACUUGUUGCUUUCUUGGUUUUCUAGCUAAAUUCCUUUUCUCUAUAUGUGAAUUUGUUCUCUUGUCAUUUUACUUUUGUUUCUUUUAGGCCUUCUCUACUUGUCACUAAUUGUAUUUCUGCAGGUUUUCAUUAUCAUCCAUGUGGUGGCUUUUGUGUAUUAUAUUAAAGGGAUUCUCUCUCCAAAAAUGUUUAAAGUAGCUGUUA
rnacentral:misc_RNA from 1 species